CAAAAUGUGUUGUCCCGAAUUAGACGUGGAGGUGCGUUAAAGAUGACAUAUCGCGUGUGGUUUUUAACACAUCUGCUUCGAGUGUGGCACGGCCCGACGCUCCGGCCGCCGUUACCAGAAAGUUUUAAAUUUGUCUCCUCGGAUCGCGAGACCUUUUUGACGUGCGGUUGGAGUUGCGCUCGAUUGUUUCGUUUCAUCGCAAAACUUCCAGCGGUAUUUCAUAUGGAUAUUUUUCACUAACACCUCCAUCUUGUCUCUUUGUCUUACGGUCCCGCUUUGGAGAGUGAAUGAAGGGCGGUAGUAUAGUAUAAUGGGUAAGGAGUUGGUCUUGUAACUUAUGGGUCGUAGAUUUGAGUCCCCACUAGGACACCGCCGUUGUACCCCUUGAGCAAGGUACUUAACCUGCAUUGCUCCAGUAUAUAUCCAGCUGUAUAAAUGGAUUCAGAAAUGCUACGUAAAAAGUUACGUAAGUCGCUCUGGGCAAGAGCGUCUGCUAAAUGCCUGUAAUGUAACAAGACAUUGGUGAUUCAUUCUUACUUUCUCAAACAUCAGACUCUGAAUGCUCUAGCUCUUUAAAAAUUCCCUUUGGCCUCACGGUGUUCUCACUGUGGUUUCCCUAAUCUGAUUGUGUGCAUCUGAUUGUGUCGUCGUUUCUGCCGUCCCCCGCGAUUCAGAUAAGCGUAUCUUAACUUGAUUUGUUUCUGCUGUUGCUAGUUAUAGAACAUAGUUGUGUGUAAUUUAGGUAAUCUUUUUUAAAACUUGUCUCAACUGUUGCUAGUCAGCAAGCUUAGUUGUACGUUAGCUGAGAAUAUCUGUAGUUGACUUGCUGUUGUUAGUUAGUUAAAGGCGUUAGUGAAACUGUGUGUGGGGGUUGGUGUUUAACUGCCCCGUAUUGUUGAGCUAAUUUCGAGUAGCUUCACCUGGUGCUUAUCUGCCCCAAUGAAGCUAAUGCAAGCACGUAAUUGUCACCCGGUAUUUAUAGCUCCAGCGGACGUGAUCUAUACGGUGUAUAUGGGUCACUGUUUCAUGCCUUCAAGACGGCAGUUUAGUGCAAUGGGUGGGGAAUGUUUCUUGUAACCAAAAGUUUGCAGAUUCCCAGUUACCUCCCCAGCUCCAACCUCCCGAUCCAGCCCGUCCUUCGCCGGCCUCCCAGUCUCCAGCCCAGCUCCACCACUGACACCGGAGAUAUUCCGUUCAGCGCCCAGCCGGAUUCCGGAUCCCGGACCCCACAGCCCCUGCUCCAAGCCUGCCUGGGUUCCUGCCACAGCCUGUUCAGUGCCACGCCAAGCCGGAUCCCGGACCUCUGCACCUACCCUCACGGUUCCUGUCCCAAGUCUCUCCUGAUUCCUACCGCCUCUGUCUGUACUCGAAUAAACCCCUUUUUGUAUUCCAUCAA